AUUGAACGCUGGCGGCGGGCCUAACACAUGCAAGUCGAACGAGUGGCGGACGGGUGAUUAAUGUCUGAGAAACUGCCCGCUGGAGGGGGAUAACUACUGGAAACUGUAGCUACUACCUCAUACCAUCGGAUGUGCAAGAUGGGAUUAGCUAGUAGGUGGGGUAACGGCUCACCUAGGCGACGAACCAGAGGUGGUCUGAGAGGAUGACCAGCCACACGGGAACUGAGACACGGUGCAGACGCCUACGGGAGGCAGCAGUGGGGAAUAUUGCAGAAUGGGCGGAAGGCUGAUGCACCCAUGCCGCGUGUAUGAAGAAGGCCGUCGGGUCGUAAAGUACUUUACGCGAGGAGGCGUUACUUGCAGAAGAAGCACCGGCUAACUCCGUGCCAGCAGCCGCGGUAAUUC
rnacentral:rRNA from 1 species